GGGCGGUCCGUAGCCCGAUGGGCUGGCGUGGCGAGCAGGAGCCGCGCCGGCCCGCGAGGGAACUUCCAGCCAAUGGGAGAGCGGCACGGCAGCGCCCGCCGGACGCUGGACACAGACGUGACCCCAGACCGCCUGGCCUUGGGUGGAUCGGGUCUCUGGGCAGAGCGUGUGUCCGGCAGAGCUAGGACCGGAAAAAGCCACUCUAGGUCUAGGUUAGGAGUGAUGACAGUUAAAAGAUAUAUAAGGAAAAGAAGGAAAGGAUCGUUUCUGUAUAAAACGAGCUAUUUUUGCAUAUCGAGCGCAUAAGUUUUAUAACUUAGGUGUCUGUUUAUGGAGAGGGUGGGAUACUACCUUUUAGCUCAAGGAGUGCACAAAACGGUAUCAUGAAUUCUGCUCUUUUGAUUCAAACACCCAACUUUGAAGAAUCGCUCAUGGUGCUUGUAAAACACGUAUCCCCAGAUCCCUCCCUAGACCUAUCGAACAACUCCAACGGUCUCGGGAAUGUGCGUGUAAGUACUCUUGGACAGUUCUUAGAAACUGGAAGUUUCAGGAAAUACAAAGUUAUGUUAUAUUGCUUUUGUCUCGGAAAUAGGAUUUUUUUAAAAGGGGGGGGCGGGUUGGGGGUGGGAAUGAAGGCUCCCACCACCACCAAAUUAUUUACCAGAUAUAUCUAAACAUGUCUUCUCCUGUCCCUCCCAUCCUACCAUCUCUCCUGUGCACCCGCAAUUAGUGACCUAACCUUUGAGGUGUGGGGUAGAUUCCCAGUUAAAUAACUUUACCCCUCUGUAUCUACUUCCUAUAAUUAAGAAGAUUGCAAAUGUUAGCUCUAAAGGGCUAUGGCUUUCACAUAAAGAUUCAAUGGUUUAGGCGCUUAUUUAUUUUGCUUGCUGCAUUUGGAGUUGGCUGUAAGUUUUGCCCUCCCUAAGUUUAGACCCUAUGCCUGUUUCAUCAGGGUUUCUGAAAAGCUUGGGAAGCAAGACCUGACUAGACCCCCAAAUCUGAUAUUGGCUGAAUGGCCGACCAAUGGAGUGCAUAAGAAGGAGAAUGGUGAGAAGUGGAUGAAACUUGAUGCUUGACUACAUGGCUCCAGUAAUGCAGUGAAAAGACAAAAACACAUCAACGUGACGUUCCAGGGAAAUAAACGCGAAAUCAUGCAUCCAACUGGCCACUAAGGGUUGGCUGUACAGAAUUGUAGUAUGCGUAUGGAGAAAAUGCUAACUGAACCUUUCUAAACAAAUAAAAAUAUACACAAUUAUUUUUCCAAUAGCUCAAGUAUUGACUUAUUUUAUGGGCAGAUGAUACCAAACUAGCAAAAAGCUUUAUGCUAAAAAUGUGCCUUUGUGGGAAAACCAGCAUGUUCGGUACUUAAAAUAUUUCCAUUCUGAACUGAAGUCAGUGAAUAGGCAUGUCUUGCAACUUCAUUUGCUUAGCAGGGUCUUGGUUUGAUUUGUAAAAACUGGGACAUAAAAUGUUUUACUAGCACUUGCCACUUAAAGUCCUAAAUUUGGUGUAUUGUGACCGUUGACAAGUAGUAGCAUUUCCCCCGCCCCCAAAAAAUCACAAUAUCAAUUCUGUGGAUAUUUUAAAAGUUUAUUUCUAUUUUAACUAGCCCACAGACCCCAUUCUUUGAGGGCUGAUCUGAUUUCUG
rnacentral:lncRNA from 1 species